UACGUAGGGGGCAAGCGUUGUCCGGAUUUAUUGGGCGUAAAGAGCGUGUAGGCGGCUUUGCAAGUCCGUUGUGAAAACUCGAGGCUCAACCUCGAGACGCCGGUGGAAACUGCAAAGCUAGAGUCCGGAAGAGGAGAGUGGAAUUCCUGGUGUAGCGGUGAAAUGCGCAGAUACCAGGAAGAACACCCGUGGCGAAGGCGGCUCUCUGGGACGGUACUGACGCUGAGACGCGAAAGCGUGGGGAGCGAACAGG
rnacentral:rRNA from 1 species